rnacentral:rRNA from 1 species
UGCGUAGGCGGUCCCGCAAGUCCGCUGUGAAAUCCCCGGGCUUAACCUGGGAAUGGCAGUGGAAACUAGGGGACUUGAAUCUGGCAGAGGGGGGUGGAAUGCCACGUGUAGCAGUGAAAUGCGUAGAGAUGUGGCGGAACACCGAUGGCGAAGGCAGCCCCCUGGGCUGAGAUUGACGCUCAGGCACGAAAGCGUGGGGAGCAAACAGGAUUAGAUACCCUGGUAGUCCACGCCCUAAACGAUGAUCACUAGGUGUUGGGGAAGCGAUUUCUCAGUACCGCAGCUAACGCGUGAAGUGAUCCGCCUGGGGAGCACGGUCGCAAGAUUAAA